GACGAACGCUGGCGGCGUGCUUAACACAUGCAAGUCGAACGGAAAGGCCCUGCUUUUGUGGGGUGCUCGAGUGGCGAACGGGUGAGUAACACGUGAGUAACCUGCCCUUGACUUUGGGAUAACUUCAGGAAACUGGGGCUAAUACCGGAUAGGAGCUCCUGCUGCAUGGUGGGGGUUGGAAAGUUUCGGCGGUUGGGGAUGGACUCGCGGCUUAUCAGCUUGUUGGUGGGGUAGUGGCUUACCAAGGCUUUGACGGGUAGCCGGCCUGAGAGGGUGACCGGCCACAUUGGGACUGAGAGACGGCCCAGACUCCUACGGGAGGCAGCAGUGGGGAAUAUUGCGCAAUGGGCGGAAGCCUGAUGCAGCAACGCCGCGUGCGGGAUGACGGCCUUCGGGUUGUAAACCGCUGUCGCCUGUGACGAAGCGUGAGUGACGGUAAUGGGUAAAGAAGCACCGGCUAACUACGUG
rnacentral:rRNA from 1 species